CAGAAAUAGAAGCUCUUGAUAUUUUUGGUCACAAAUGCGGGCUUGUUUGAAAUCACGAGAAAACCUGAGGCGCUAAAUAGGUUAAAAUUUGUCAUCUCUCAGCCUGCUCUGUGAACAGACUGCUCUGAUGCAUCUGUGAUCCAAAAACUGGCUUCACUUCUGGUAAUCCGCCUCUACUCUGUACCAACCAAAAAAAAAAAGUGGAAUAUGUGUAUCAGUGCUUGCAAAAUGUCAGUGCUUAAUGAAAUGAUCAGUCACUGUGAACCGAUUUGUUUUGCAGUUCACUGAGUUUGUUGUGAGAUAGUACAGUAUGUCCCUCCUCGAUGGCAGUCCUCUAUACUGAUGUGUUUUAGCCACAGACAGCUGCUUCUGCCCCUACACUGUUGUCACAGAUGGGGAAACUCAGCUGCAUGUCAGUGUUUAUCUGUUACUUUGUCUUAAAAUUCAUAAAAUUAAAUGAUAGAUAAUGAAAUAAAAAAAGCAGCCUCACAAACAAUGAGAGAGUAUUAUAGAGUAGUGCUGGACGAUAAUUCGAUAACAAUAUAUAUCGAUCGAUAGACGUGUGGAGCGAUAGAAAAAAAACGGGUCGAUAAAAAGUUCGAUAGAAAAACACAGUUUCCCUUUCUUUUUCAUCAUAGCCUAUCAUGUAGCUUUUACUACAGUCAUUACUUCCUCCCAACCAAUCACAAACGCAGACCCAGGUACGCUACGGCACCAAGCCCAGCCCCUAUCAAACCACAACAGACAGCACGUGUAUUAGAAAUAAUGUAACAGCAAGGAGAAGCGGAGGAAAUUGUCCCGAAAAAAGGUUUCAGUAGUUCACCAACAUGGCAAUGUUUUGGUUUUUAGAAGUCUGACAAAAAGCAAACAGCGGUCGUUUGCAAAAUUUGCAGAGAAUUAGUAAAAACCAAGUCCGGUAACACAACCAACUUGUUUUACCAUCUAAACCGGUCGCACCCGCAGGAGUACGAGCUGUGUCGGCCGCGCCGCGGCUCCACGUCGUCGUCGGAGGAAUCCUCUGGAACCGCUGUUAGCACUAGCACAAAGCAAGUGAAGCAGACCAAACUGGACUUCGUUUCUUGCCAAAAUACGACAAAGCGUCCAAGCGGCAUAAGGACAUCACCCAUGCAGUAACAUGCUCCAUAGCGAGGGACAUACUGCCAAUAACUACCGUUGAAAAGCCUGGCUUCGACCAGCUUCUAGCCACUCUCGACCCGCGAUAUGAAGUGCCCGGCCGCAAGUAUUUCUCAAACACAGCGCUUCAGGCAUGAAAAUGGGUCAGGGGUUGAAAAGGUGAGAAUGGUGCGGAGGAAAUACGCUCCGGUGUAGCUUCUUAAAGUGGAAGAAAAUGAGCUCAUAUUUUACAAAGACGCGAGUAUUUGGAUCAUGGCUACUAGCAGGGGGGGCAUUCGGCAGGGGUGCAUUCUACGACACAACACCGGCGUGGAUAAGUCCUGCUUCUCGUGCUUAGUUUGUUUAAUAAGUCAAUCACAUGAUAAUUAAAAAAAUAAAUCUCCCGACCCCAGGAGAAAUAUUUCAGUGUUCAGACACCAGGCUGUGGGCAGUUUCCCACACAGUUAAAACUGGUAGUAUGCUAUUCCCACCUAAAGCUAUUCUGUUUAUUUAUAUAUUUGUUUGUUUUGUUUAUUUUCAUCAAAAGACUAUUUAAAUAUUUAUUUAUCAGAUUUUCUGGUCACUUUAGUCUUUAUGUUUGUCAGUAUUUACUGACGUCACUCAGGCCACUUAAGUUGAUUUAUUUUUUUUUAAGUUCUUUUUAAAAAAAACUUUCAGUUGUGGUAAAAAAAAAAAAGGUGGUUGAAUAAAGGUUUGAAUUUGAAUUCAGUGCUUGUGUGUUCUUUAUUAAAAGUAGGUCAUUAAGCAAUAGCAUAAAACAUCCAGGGCUGCAAUUAAAAUAUAUGUUAAAUAAUUAUAAUAAUUAUAUCGAUAAUUAUCGAUAUCGAUCAAUAUGAUUUAUUUUUUAUCGAUAUGCUUUUUUUCUAUAUCGUCCAGGCCUAUUAUAGAGUAUAUAUUUUUGAUUGGAGAUGAACUUUUUAUGUGCAUAAUCAGCAGGCUGCAGAAAAACAUCAUGCUCCAACUAAUGUGACAAAAGGAACAAAAAUUCUCAUAUUAGUGAAGUGCCAAGUAAAAAAAUAAAAAAUACUAUGAGUCAGACUUUAUCACGUCAGCAGAGCACAAGUAGUCCAGGGUCAAGCCUUUCUGGAUGGAAGCUAAACAAAGCGCAGAAAGAGUGUCUCCAUCCAGCCUGUCUCUGAGUCCUUUUGUAAUUUUGUUAAACUCCUUCUCAUGCCAGGUUGUCACAUACUUGUGUCUGGUAACCGUGUGUUUGCAAUGUCACAGAGGCGCACGAGUGGAGGCGGUUUCCUUCCCGUGUAACACGUGGAUGAACUGCAAGGUUAAGGAAAAAAAAUCCCCACGUGGAAGGUCAA